rnacentral:rRNA from 1 species
CCUACGGGAGGCAGCAGUGGGGAAUUUUGCACAAUGGGGGAAACCCUGAUGCAGCGACGCCGCGUGAAUGAAGAAGUAUUUCGGUAUGUAAACUUCUAUCAGCAGGGAAGAAAAUGACGGUACCUAACUAAGAACCUCUGGCUAACUACGUGCCAGAAGCCGCGGUAAUACGUAGGGGGCAAGCGUUAUCCGGAUUUACUGGGGGUAAAGGGAGCGUAGGCGGGUGUGCAAGUCAGAAGUGAAAGCCCGGGGCUCAACCGCGGGGCUGCUUUGGAAACUGUAUGACUAGAGUGCAGAAGAGGAAAGUGGAAUUCCUAGUGUAGCGGUGAAAUGCGUAGAUAUAAGGAGGAACACCAGUGGCGAAGGCGGCUUGCUGGACUGUAAAUGACGCUGAGGUGCGAAAGCGUGGGGAGCAAACAGGAUUAGAUACCCUAGUAGUC